rnacentral:rRNA from 1 species
CCUACGGGAGGCAGCAGUGAGGAAUAUUGGUCAAUGGACGAGAGUCUGAACCAGCCAAGUAGCGUGAAGGAUGACUGCCCUAUGGGUUGUAAACUUCUUUUAUAAAGGAAUAAAACGAGGCACGUGUGCCUUUUUGCAUAGUCUUUGUGAAUAAGGAUCGGCUAACUCCGUGCCAGCAGCCGCGGUAAUACGGAGGAUACGGGCGUUAUUCGGAUUUAUUGGGUUUAAAGGGAGCGUAGAUGGGUUGUUAAGUCAUGUGUGAAAGUUUGCGGCUCAACCUUAAAAUUGCAAUUGAUACUGGCAGUCUUGAGUACAGGUGAGGUAGGCGGAAUGCGUGGUGUAGCGGUGAAAUGCUUAGAUAUCACGAAGAACCCCGAUUGCGAAGGCAGCUUACUAAACUGUGACUGACAUUGAUGCUCGAAAGUGUGGGGAUCAAACAGGAUUAGAUACCCUAGUAGUC